rnacentral:rRNA from 1 species
CAUGGUCUUUUGAAUUUGAUUUAAGAUCUAACCUGCCCAAUGAUAAUUUUAAUGGCCGCGGUAAUUUGACCGUGCGAAGGUAGCAUAAUCAAUAGUUUUUUAAAUGGAAGCUGGAAUGAAUGGUUGGACGAGAAAGUUACUGUCUCAAUCUUAAUUAUCUUUGAAUUUUAUUUUUGAGUUAAAAAGCUUAAAUUGUUUUAAAAGACGAGAAGACCCUAUAGAGUUUAAUUUAAUAUAUUUAUUUGAUUGAAAGAAAUUUUAUAUGAAUUGUUUAAAUUUUGUUGGGGUGACAUUAAGAUUUAAAAAACUCUUGAAUUUUUAGUUCAAUAAUAUUUGUAUUUUUUUUGAUCCAUAUUUUUUGAUUAAUAGAAUAAAUUACCUUAGGGAUAACAGCGUUAUUUUUCUUGAGAGUUCUUAUCGAAAGAAGAGAUUGCGACCUCGAUGUUGGAUUAAAAUAUACUUUUGGCGCAAGAGUUAAAAAGGGUGAGUCUGUUCGACUUUAAAAAUUUUACAUGAUCUGAGU